rnacentral:rRNA from 1 species
AUUGAACGCUGGCGGCAGGCCUAACACAUGCACGUCGAACGAGUGGCGGACGGGUGAGUAAUGUCUGGGAAACUGCCUGAUGGAGGGGGAUAACUACUGGAAACGGUAGCUAAUACAGCAUACCAUCGGAUGUGCCCAGAUGGGAUUAGCUAGGAGGUGGGGUAACGGAUCACCUAGGCGACGAUCCCUAGCUGGUGUGAGAGGAUGACCAGCCAAACUGGAACGGAGACACGGUCCAGACUCCUACGGGAGGCAGCAGUUGGGAAUAUUGCACAAUGGGCGCAAGCCUGAUGCAGCCAUGCCGCGUGUAUGAAGAAGGCCUUCGGGUUGUAAAGUACUUUCAGCGGGGAGGCGUUACCCGCAGAAGAAGCACCGGCGAACUCCGUGCCAGCAGCCGCGGUAAUAC